UUUUGAAAGGGACCAAUGGUUUUUGGAAUGAGUUUCGUUCGUAGUUUGUAAUUUUUGUGAUUUCAUCCAGGGAAUAUAGGAGCUGUGGUGAUGAAAUUUUCCAACACAAAAGAAAAAGACAUGGAAGCAGUAAUCAAACACUGGCUGAAAUCUUCAAAAACUCGGUUUACCAGCAAAGAGAAAUCUAAAAAUGUUCAAACACCGGAUCCUGGAGGAAAAUCUGAAUGCUUCAAAAAUUGAGAUUGAAUUGAGGUGCAGUAACAUAAACCAGUAUGUAGCUCAAAAAAUUGCUACUUUAAACAGGAAGAGAUUAAAGUAUUCUGGAGCACCACAAUAAGGACCUUUCUUAAUAGAUAAAUGACACACAUAUGAGUUAUUUUAAUAAAAAACUUCUCACAUU
rnacentral:lncRNA from 1 species